GCUUCUGCUGACGCAGAGAAGAAGAAUCUGCAUCUCUUGUGGGCCGCCGCAUCCAUUUCCCCGCGUUCCAGCUCACCCGCCUCGCCGCCGGUCGCCGCAGCUUGUUGCGGCGCGACGGUUGUUAUUCCGGCUAGGGUUCCGGCGAGCCCCAUCCCCCACGGAGAGAGAGAGGCCAGCGCCGCCAUCUCAGGGAAGUAGGGGGGAGAGAUGGUUUUCGUGUGGCUCACCGCCUUCUUCCUCGUCGUCGCGCUCAUCGUGCUCGUCAUCUACCAGCUGAUGUGCUUGGCAGAUCUGGAGUUUGACUAUAUCAACCCAUUUGAUUCAUCUUCUCGGAUAAAUAAAGUGGUUAUGCCAGAAUUCGUAUUGCAAGCAGUUCUAAGUGUAUUGUUCCUCCUAUCGGGGCAUUGGGCAAUGUUCUUACUUUCUGCCCCGAUGGUGUACUAUAACUAUACGCUGUACCAGCGACGGCAACAUCUUGUAGAUGUAACGGAAAUAUUUAAUCACCUUGGCCGGGAGAAGAAACGUCGUCUUUUUAAGAUAGUUGGCCUCAUCAUUCUCCUAUUUUUGUCCUUGUUUUGGAUGAUCUGGAGUGUAUUGUUGGAGGAGGACCAGUAGAAUGAAAAAACACUAUGUAGGUCAUAUUGGUGUUCCAAGUUCCAACCAUUAGUUAGGUCAUCUGGAGAAGCAAGGCAAGUGAAAGAAAUCGUGGCCUCAAACAAAAAUAUGAUUGGCUUGUGGAGCUGUUUUUUUUCUCCCGAUUUAUAGUGAAGCUCCUACCGUGUCGGCGUGUAUCUUGUAAAUUAGGGGCUACUGCCACUAUUUAUUUGAACCGUGCAUCGGUUCUCAUGGGGGCAAAGGAUUUAGUUCCGUUGCUGUGCGUGAGUUAUCUUGCCUUGCACUGCAGAAUGUCCUCGAUUUUAUGUUGACCUCGUGUGGUUUGAUUUUUGUUUAGUGAGAUGAGAUCCUUUCCUCUGAA